rnacentral:tRNA from 1 species
GUAGUUGUGGCCGAGUGGUUAAGGCGAUGGACUUGAAAUCCAUUGGGGUCUCCCCGCGCAGGUUCAAAUCCUGCCAACUACG